AUGGCCUGGGCUCCUCUCCUGCUCCUACUUCUGGCUCACUGCACAGUGUCUAUGGCCCAGGAAGGACUCAUUCAACAGCCAAGCGUCACCAGUCCCCCCGGACAGACGGUCACACUAAGCUGCACUGGAAAUAAUGACAAUGUUGGGUAUGAAGGAGCAGUUUGGAUACUGCAAUAUCCAGGUCAGGCACCCAGAAGUGUGAUGGCCAGGAACAACAACCGGCCUUCUGGGAUUCCUGACAGGUUCUCAGGUUCUAGGGGAGGCAGUGUGGCCUCCCUGACCAUCUCUGGGCUCAGACCAGAGGAUGAGGCUGAUUAUUAUUGCACGGCGUGGGACCGCAGCCUCAGUGCUUGCACUGUGCUGCAGAGAAGUGAGGAAGUGAGACAAAAACCCACCAGCUUCCCUGGUUCUCAGCAGCUCAUGGGGAACAUACAAAACAGCCUCAACUUGAACAAUGAGCAGACAAAGGCUGGGUUCAAACAAAAAUAA